CACCUUUUCAACACAAGCAUUUUGGGCGGCCAGAUCUAUCCAUUCAAAUUUUGAAUUCCUUUACUCUUCCCAACUCCCAAGGCCAGAUCUAUCCAUUCAACAUUCAUGUUUCUCUAAUGUUCUUCCAUCUUCUCCCAGAGAAAACCUAAUAUUGCCACCACCGCCAUAACACCGCAGCAACAAUAAAAGCCCCACAUACCUUCUCUCUUUAAAGAACUCAAUGCCAUCAGCCACCAUCGCCUCCUACGAAAUCGGCUCCUCCCACAUAACUUUCAUAGCUCAUAACCCACCACAACUUCUUGAUUUAAGGUCGUAUGGCCUGGAUCGGCGGUUUACUGGGCCAAAUCUACAAAUCUUAGGGCAUCAAGUACACAUACUGCUCUGACCGGGUAGAAUUCUAACACACCCUGAAAGCCGACGUCGUUGCUGUGAAGCCCACACACCCCCACGUGUUCAAUGCCGCCGGUCGACCGAACUGUCACACAAGGUGGUAUAUGUUUGAUUUUUAUGUGAUUUCGAAUAAGUGUGUGUGUGAACCCGUUUGAUUUUGAUUGGUUUGUGUUUCAGGGUCUGUGUUCAAACAUCCAAAUCCUCUAUAAAUUAAAGAAGGAAUAAUGCCAACAAAAAGUCGAGAUAAGAGCAAAACAGUGAAGAUGGGAGUGAGGAUUGUUACUCAAUCGACUGGUUAUACGCAGCCUUGGUGGCAUAGGAUUAAAGAUGGGUGCAAGUUAAGAUGCACGUGCAAUGCUCUUGAUGGAGGAUAUCAUAACUCUUGAAUUACUGAUUAGAUGUGGGGAAGAGGAGUCGUUUCUGAUGGUCAAUCUAUUGCUUAUGGAAGUUAUGCUGAAAGGUUCAUGGCCCCUAAUGAACUUUAGUCAGAUCCAAACACAAAGAGCCUGAAGAUCGGUGACCCUUGGUGGCAACGGUCAUGAAGAAGCUAUGGUAGCAGUCGGAAUCAAGAGUAGAUGGAAGCGGUUUUGGGUCGCUAGGGUUCUAUCAUGAACCCAGGCAGUGCUGGCGCCUUAGAAGAGCCCGAUGAUGAUUAGGGAUUGAUUCCAGGUUAUGUUGAAGUUGGGCGAUAUACAUAAAAAAACAAUUUCAUACAUGAUAAAACAAGGGGAAGCUUUGUCUCUUGUGUCGUGCCUAAAAAGAGGCAGAAGUGAAUUAUCUUGGGCAACUUUUGUACCCGAAUCUCGUACAAUUGAUCGGAUAUUGUUUGGAGGACAAACAACGGCUUUUAUUGUACGAAUUCAUGCCUCGUGGGAUCUUGGAAAAUCACUUAUUUAGGAGAGGAUCUUAUUUUCAACCACUAUCGUGGAGUCUUCGGUUAAAGGUUGCUCUCGGAGCUGCUAAAGGACUUGCUUUUCUUCAUGGUGCGAAAGCAAAAGUGAUUUAUCGCGAUUGCAAGACUUCUAAUGCGUUGCUAGAUUCGGACUACAACGCAAAGCUAUCAGAUUUCGUGGCUAGCCAAGGAUGGACCGAUCGGUGAUAAGAGCCAUGUCUUGACUAGAGUCAUGGGGACGUACGGAACUGCCCAAUUGGUAAUAAGAGCCAUGUCUCGACUAGAGUCAUGGGAUUUGAUCUUUUGCUGAUGUGUAUAAGCUCAUGCUACCAUGAACAAGUACACUUGGGAACUGCCGUUGACUCCAUCAGGUCUGCAAGUUUGUGGAUGACAGAAUGCCCAUUAAGAAGACAAGUUCUACUUUAGUGAAACAUGGUUCUGAAAAGAAGACAAGUUCCACCAUGUUAUAGUGAUGUUAUAAAUCUACACUGGUCGUUGAGUUCGAUGUGAAACCAGGCAUGGGUUACUUUUGUGAUUCAUUUGUCAUGUAAAUUUUAUAUAAAAUAAACCCCACCUUCCCUUGUAUGGCAACAAGUUACUUCAUAUACAGUAAGACUUCAUUUACGUUGUA